GCUCCGGUGGCCUAGUGGUUAGAACGUCCGCCUUGUGUGCGGGAAGUCUUAGGUUCGAACCCCGGCCGAGUCA